GCUACAUGGUGUUACACUGAAACCGUCCUUGCAACUGCUUUGCUCACUAGCAGGUUGACACGGUUGGUCCAAUAAUUUCUAUGGAAAAUGUCAACAUGGCUACAGACACUAACUCCUCACUAAGCAGCAGUGAUCCAGUGAAAUUGUGAAAAUAGCAUAACACAAACUGGAAACGAUGACCAUCAACCAGCAGCCACUUGCCAACUGUUCAGGGAAUAUAUGUUUCCCUAGCAACCAGAGGCUGCAAGGCUAUGACCUUAAGUUCUAAUAAGCUAACUGGAUAAUGGACAGGUGGUGAAAAUAAGCUUGCUUAGGGGGGAAAUGCUUUGUUCCUGCUACCACCACAGGAAAAGAGGGCAGUAAUCAGCUCACUAUGAAGGCUGCCGGCCGGAGCAGAGAGGGGAGGCAUGCAGGCUUAGAUCCACAGUCAGACCUCAAGAGAAAAGCCUGGCUCCCACACUCCAUCCCACAAACUUUUCCAUAAUGUGAAACCAUCGCUCAUUCUCUCAACUCUGUCGUCAUUCCAAACCGAGGAGAUCAGCGCUGUUACCACCCAGUAUGAUACUGGCAGCAAAUGAGCUUUAAGAAAGGAAGAAAGGCAGAUCGCUAUUGUCGAAUGAAAACCAGGGAAGUGUAAUUUUGGUUAUUUUUCUAUUUAAAUAUAAUUUUGCAGAUUUAUGGCCCCUCCGUUGCCCACAUUCAGUGUCAUGAAGCCCAUUUCAGAGUGGUUUUGAAGCACCUUCAGCUUUCAGCACUACCUGUCGUGGCCAGCCAGGCGUGGCACAGGUGGUGCCGUGACCCAGUCCAACGCAAGCUGGCAGAAAUCCCUCAGACGUAAACAGUGUAGGAAAAAUCAUCUCCAGCCAAGAACGCAGGGUUGAUAAGAGAAGGAUUCAUUAAGGAAACGCACCAAACUUUGACUCUGGGAGCGGCAGUGAGAGGGGAUCUAAAUUUUGGUCCUCAUUUUUAAAUUAUAGUGAUAAUAGUAACAGAUUAGCCACUUGAAAUUCACCUUAAAAUUUUCCAAAAACUAAAUCCAUGAUUUCAGACAAAGGUAGACGAAAGCAGUGUUACAAUUUCUGGUUGGUGACGAUCAGUAUUGCCAGUCCAGAAGCUGCUGCUGUAUUCUACAACGAACCAGGGGUCCAGAUGAAAAUACUGGAUUUAACCAUGUCAUUUCGCAUUUGUAUUUUGGAGAAGAAAAUUAACAGAGUAUAACAUUUUUGUACGUAUAGGUUUGCUUUUCUUUUAUGUCUGCGGUCACACUGCUUAAAAAACAUGCUGCGAAAUCUAAAGUUUCACAGGCCUGGUGUUUUUCAGUUGCUAAGCUGUUUGGAUGAUCACUUUGGUAAUUGGCAGGUCUUCCCACCUUCACCCUCACUGAAGUCUAACACUGUUGCUUGCAGUGACUGAGCUGACCAGCCUGUGGAAAAACAGAGAUCGCCCAUGAGAGGAAGAAUCUGACGUUUGAAGCAGCUGGCAGCUGAAUGCAGAGAAGAAGAACAGAGGACUGUCAACUACCUUGUAAGAGGCCAGGAAAGCUGAGGAAAACUCUGAUGGAUCAGUAAGAUAAAAGGAAUGAAGAAACUAGAAAAGCAGGGAUUUCCACAGCUGGCAGUGGGAUGAAAUGACCGUUCCAAAACAUUCAGUCUGUCAGUUCUCAGCUUCAAACCAGACUUUGACAUCUCUUCCUCGCCCGCAUCCAGAAACAAAGGUAAACGGAGAAAGACGAGAAAGCGAUAUGUGUUUCUGUCCGUGUGUGCAUGUGCAUCAUCAUCACCAUCAUUAGCUGCAUCCCCGGUGGAUGUCUUCGGGCGCAGCGGUCAGUCUGUAGUCUACCAGCGAUAGAGUGCCUGAUAAAGAGAAAACGUCAAGCACAAACUGGCGUCUGAGGCUUCAGAGUGAUGGAGGGCAGAAAAUGCCACAAAAAAUGAAUAAUU